CUGGUUACGUGAUGAGUACUUUUCUCACCAUCUUUCGGCUGAUGUUGUGAUGGAUCUUUUCAUAUCUGAUGACCAG